rnacentral:misc_RNA from 1 species
CAAAGUUCACUGCUUGGAAAGAAACCAAUUAGAAGUUUCUCUCUCUCUUUCUCUCAUUCGCUUCUUCUCCAUCUUUAUCUCUUUCCAUGCAAGUGCUGCUUUACCAUUCUCAUAGUUCAUACUAGCAAUUGGCCAAUUGACCUUACUCCUUAAUUUUCCUUUUUCCCGCCAAAACUUCCCUCGCCAAUCAUGAAUCGUGGCCGAGCUUCUUCAUCAGGUGGUUAUUCCAAUCCCAGAGGGCGAUCCUCCCGUUCCGCCGGUCAUUCUUCUUAUCGUGGCCGCCAUAUGGAUGGUGCAGAUGGAGCUUGUUAUGAUUCCUCAUUCAGCAGAAGGGAUGGAACGUCACAUGGCAGAAGGGGAAGUACGAAUUCCAAAAUGCCUACCCAAGUUUAUCGACCAAAGAAGCCUUCAGGGGAUGGGACUAUCCAUUCAGAAGUGCUUCAGCAGGAUCAAAAUGCUUCAAAUGCUAGUGGUUCUGAAUCAAAACAACUGGAACCUUUUGAGGCUUUCGAUUCUGCUUCUGAAGGUAGUUCUGCAUUGUCGUCUGCUUGUUCAAGUUCACAGGAUAAUGUGGUGAAUAUUCAGGCUGGACAAGUGCUAACAGAGGGAGCUGUGAAGGAGGGGACAUUACAUCAUGAUCUCUCAUCCAAAUUAAAUAUUUCUACCCAGCAAAAUCAGUCUCUGCCGUCCUUGAAUUCUGGUGCUAAAGACCAGCCAUCCCAACAACAGUGUGCUAAGAGUACUGAAUGCAACAGAGAAUCAGAGCAUUCAGAGCAUCGAACACUGAUUGAGACUUUUGACAUUUUUCUGCCAAGGACUGGUACUCCUGUAAUUUUGAAGCCUUCGUUGCUUGCGAAAAACAGAGAAAAGCGGAAUGAGGUCAAGCGAGCUUCCAAAUUAGAGGGAAAAAUAUUAAGAUCGGGGAUGGUUCUUUUGAAGGGUUAUUUGUCUAUGGAUGAUCAGGUUUCACUUGAUGUUCUCUUAUUAUCUGUCUUUAGAGAUUUAUUACUCCUUUUAUAUCUCUUCUUUUUUGGGAACAUUUCUUGUUGUUAAUUUUCUUUUGUUCACGGUCUUGUUUAUUUAUUUUGUGCUCUGAUGUGAUUCUAGGUUAAAAUGGUAAAGCUCUGCCGAGACCUUGUUAGGCCCAGGAGGUUUCUACCAACCCAGUUACCAUGAUGAUGCAAAAAUGCAUUUUAGAAUGAUGUGUCUUGGUAGGAAUUGGGACCCUAAUACAAGUAUGUACGGAGAACAUCAGUCAAUUGAUGGUGCUAAACCACCCGAGAUUCCUCAAGAAUUUUGUAGCUUGGUUGACAAAGCUAUGAAAGAUUCCUGUGCUCUCGUAGAAAGAAAUUCUAAAGCAACUAGUGUAGAAGACAUUCUUCCAUGGAUGUCACCAGACAUCUGAUUUGUAAAUUUUUACUCAGCAAGUGGGCGGCUUGGUCUCCAUCAGGUUUGAAUGGGUGGAAUUUUCCCCACAUGUUAGAAACUGAAGUAGGGGAUGUUUUUUUAUGCUCUUUCUAUUUAUGCUUUCUUUUUUCGCAAGUUGGGGGUGGGGGGUUGGAGUUGGGACCUGGGAUGUAGUGAUUUUGUGGAUUAUUGUCCAGAAUAACAUUUAAGAUUGAAUUAGUUUAUGUUGUGAAUAGAGUUUCACAUAAUUUUUGUUAGAAUCUUACUGUUCCAACUUUGAUAUUGUACAAGUCUGCUGAAAGUAAUGAUGUGUUUGUAUUUGUCUUGAUAUACUUCACCUCAAAUUUUUAUUAUUUCAAUUGUUUGGAUGUAAACUGAACUAGAUUUUAUCAUUUAUUGUGGAGAAUAGAAUUAAAUAGGUUUGCAGACUUGAUUGAACUUGCAUUUAGCAUGACAAGAAAUUUUUUAAAAUUGUGUCAUGCAUCCCUUGUGCAUUUAACUCAGUUGUGUUCUUGCUUUUCUUGAUAUUGAUUGAUACACCUUUUGCCUCUGUCAUUUAGUUAAAGACUUCCAAAAUUCAUGAUUGAUUACCCAUGCAGGAUAAAGACGAAAGUGAAGGAAGUCUUAAGAGAUGAUUACCUGUUGUUUCAUUUUCAAUUGGAGAUGAAGGAGAGUUCCUGUAUUGUGACAAUAGAGAUGAAAAGAAUGCAAUGAAAGUUAUACUGGAAUCAGGAGACGUCCUGAUAUUUGGUGGGAAGUCCAGACGUAUAUUUCACGGCGUACGCUCUGUUCAUCCCAACGCUGUCCCAAAGUCUCUGCUUGAAGAAACAAAUCUUCGUCCAGGCUGUUUAAAUCUAACUUUCAGACAGUAUUGAAAAUCUUGGAUAUGCUUGAAGUUGUUUCUAGUGAUUAUAAAUAGAUGCUAGACAGGUGGAAUAGGAGAUACUGUGAUUUGACAUACAUAUAUUUCCCCUAUCUUCAGGGAGCUCGUUUAAAGUUAAUUUUUGCAUAACAUGAAAUAGCCUGAGUGAGAAAUCAAUUGCUUGAUUGUUCUAUGAUGAUGAUUUCCAUAUUUUGGAGCCAUCUUUGUUGGGAG